rnacentral:rRNA from 1 species
GCGCACCAGUCGCGAAUAUUCGGCAAUGGGCGAAAGCCUGACCGAGCGACGCCGCGUGCGGGAUGAAGGCCUUCGGGUUGUAAACCGCUUUUCUAAGGGAAAAAUUGUGUCUCACUGUUGUUUGGAGAAAAAAUAAUAAGAAUAAGAUGGAUGGCCGCAGAGUUCCGUGACUUCCGCAGGUUUUCAUAAAAAUACCAAAUUACAGUGAGGCACAAAUUGAUGGUACCUUAGGAAUAAGAGGUUGCUAACUCCGUGCCAGCAGCAGCGGUAAUACGGAGACCUCAAGCGUUAUCCGGAUUUAUGGGCGUAAAGGGUGUGUAGGCGGAUGUGAUAGUCAGAUGUUAAAU